UACGUAGGAGGCGAGCGUUGUCCGGAUUCAUUGGGCGUAAAGAGCGCGCAGGCGGCUUGGUAAGUCGGAUGUGAAAACCCGAGGCUCAACCUCGGGCGUGCAUCCGAAACUGCUCGGCUAGAGGUAGGUAGGGGAGAUCGGAAUUCCUGGUGUAGCGGUGAAAUGCGCAGAUAUCAGGAGGAACACCGGUGGCGAAGGGCGGAUCUCGUGGGCCUUACCUGACGCUCAGGCGCGAAAGCUAGGGGAGCGAACUGG
rnacentral:rRNA from 1 species